CAUUUCUCUACGGAUUUAGCCUUUUUCAGAGAAUGGUUUUUUUGCGAUUGGGGGGGGCGACCGCCCCCCCUUGCCCCCCCUUGGCUACGCCCCUGAAAAUAUCCUCGUUUGAUAUUCGGACGAAUAUGAGCCAACGUAUACUCAAAACUAGCGACUGUGGCCUAUUACGUCUACAUGCAUUUGGACAUAAUAUGGAGCCAGAAUCAACCAGAUUUCUUGAUAAUCGCCUCAAGGCAUUAGCUUGUGGUCAAAA